GUGCCAGCCGCCGCGGUAAUACAUAGGGGUCAAGCGUUGUCCGGAUUUAUUGGGCGUAAAGAGCUCGUAGGCGGUUCAACAAGUCGGUCGUAAAAGUUUAGGGCUCAACCCUAAAAUGUCGAUCGAUACUGUUGUGACUAGGAUACGGUAGAGGUGAGUGGAAUUCCGAGUGUAGCGGUGAAAUGCGUAGAUAUUCGGAGGAACACCAAUUGCGAAGGCAGCUCACUGGGCCGCUAUUGACGCUCAUGCACGAAAGCGUGGGGAGCAAACAGGAUUAGAUA
rnacentral:rRNA from 1 species